rnacentral:rRNA from 1 species
UACACAUGCAAGUCGAACGGAGUAGCAAUACUUAGUGGCGGACGGGUGAGUAACGCGUAAGAUCUAGCUUCAGGUUCGGGACAACAAUUGGAAACGAUUGCUAAUACCGGAUAUGCCUACGGGUAAAAGGCUUGCUGCCUGAAGAAGAGCUUGCGUCCGAUUAGCUAGUUGGUGGAGUAAAGGCUUACCAAGGCGGCGAUCGGUAGCUGGUCUGAGAGGAUGACCAGCCACACUGGGACUGAGACAAGGCCCAGACUCCUACGGGAGGCAGCAGUGGGGAAUUUUCCGCAAUGGGCGAAAGCCUGACGGAGCAAUACCGCGUGAGGGAAGAAGGCUCUUGGGUUGUAAACCUCUUUUCUCAGGGAAUAAAAAAAUGAAGGUACCUGAGGAAUAAGCAUCGGCUAACUCCGUGCCAGCAGCCGCGGUAAUACGGAGGAUGCAAGCGUUAUCCGGAAUGAUUGGGCGUAAAGCGUCCGCAGGUGGUACAACAAGUCUAGUGUCAAAGACCGGGGCUCAACCCCGGGAAGGCGGUGGAAACUGUUGAACUAGAGGGUCGUAGGGGUAGAGGGAAUUCCCAGUGUAGCGGUGAAAUGCGUUGAGAUUGGGAAGAAACAUCGGUGGC